CUGAUCGAUGUAUCAUAGAUAAGAGUCCUUAUGCUUGAAGGAACUCUUAUCUCUGAUAAUCAGAUCAAAUAAGCCUUUUGAGAUAAGGCAUGUCCCUCUCUUUUGGCAUCUCUCUGGUGGCUAUAAAUAGGCCGGGGUGCUGGGUAUCCGAUGAAUCGAAGAGGGGUUUCCAAUUUCUCUCCUAUUGCUCUCCUUUCUUUCUUACAACCUAUCUUAGUUUUAGGACAAGGCUUUGGCAUUUUAAACAAAGCCUUAUCUGGUCCUAACAAGGGUUGUAAAGGUCCUAAAGAAGGAGAAUCAGAAGUCCAGAGGAGGUUCUAAGAGGAUAAGGUUAGAUUCUUGAAGAAACUUGACCGAUACGAGGCUAGUCGAGUUCUAAGGGCUAGAACUCUUGAAGCAAGAUAAAGAAGGAGCACGGUCUUUGGUUCAAUUUCCAUGUGGAUCACCAUUAGAGGGAAGAUACUUGGAUGCUUUAUGAAAAUUGAGAUUAGCGCUAUAGGUAUUNNNNN
rnacentral:lncRNA from 1 species